rnacentral:misc_RNA from 1 species
CAAGAAGCGUAAAAGGCUCCUUAAACCCUUGUGAAUCUACCUAUUCAAGUUGCCUUCGGUAGGCGCGGUCCCCUAGGGAGGGACCGCAGCCCAGCUCUCAGGAUGGUCCGGGGCCGAAGACGCCGGUCCGAAACUCUGUUACUAUAGUGGUUAUUCUGAGUAAUAACAAAAUAAGUUA